CUAAGGAUGAUCCUUCAGCGAGCUCACGCUCACUAUCGGAUCGUUUUAGAAACAUCAGUGGCCAACAGAUCGCCAGAUCGUUGAGCUGCAUUGGCGGGAUUUCGCCGUCUUCGUUUCUCUUUCUUCGCGGACGAACACGCGCCGGGGCUGCGCUGUGCGAUUGCAUCUGCGCUGGUCGCCGAUGCAUGCACGCAAGACCCUAGUCCUGAAAAGGAUAGCGUUAGGGCUUGUAGCUCAGUUGGUUAGAGCGCGCGCUUGAUAAGCGUGAGGUCGGAAGUUCAAGUCUUCCCAGGCCCACCACUUUCAUCGAGUGAGCAUUCGUCUUCUGGUUACGGGGCCAUAGCUCAGCUGGGAGAGCGCGUGCUUUGCAAGCAUGAGGUCGUCGGUUCGAUCCCGUCUGGCUCCACCAGAUGGUUUGAUCACCGAGAUCUUGUACCGUCGUCCGCGAAACAUCACUUCGCAUUCACUAGUCUGGAUAGACAGUGAACUGCGUGUUUUCUGACAUCGUAAAGAGGAGAUCGAUCCGAGUUGGGUCGUGCAGCAUAUCGUUGCGCGAGCCUUCAUUAUCUCCGGAUCAUUUUCGGCGCUCGCUUUCAGCCGUGAGGUUGAAUGCGAGUUGUAAAAUGAUCCUUUUAGCGAAGCUUGACCGCCUCGCUAUCGGAACGAUCUUACGAAGCAAGCUGGUCUUUCUAGUCAAUGUCCGGCUGUACGUAGCAUUCAUCGAGGGUGCGCGCCGCAAGGCAAUCGUACGGACAACAUUCUGCCGAGUGUGUGGACAUUGAUAAUGAGAGC
rnacentral:tRNA from 1 species